rnacentral:rRNA from 1 species
UACGGAGGAUGCAAGCGUUAUCCGGAAUGAUUGGGCGUAAAGCGUCCGCAGGUGGCAAUGUAAGUCUGCUGUCAAAGCGUCUGGCUCAACCAGAUAAAGGCAGUGGAAACUACAUAGCUAGAGUAAGGUAGGGGUAGAGGGAAUUCCUGGUGUAGCGGUGAAAUGCGUAGAGAUCAGGAAGAACACCGGUGGCGAAGGCGGCCCACUGGUCCGGUACUGACGCUGAGGUGCGAAAGCGUGGGGAGCAAACAGG